UACGGAGGUCUCAACCGUUGUUCGGAUUCACUGGGCGUAAAGGGUGCGUAGGCGGUCGGGUAAGUCGGAUGUGAAAUCCCAGGGCUCAACCCUGGAACUGCAUUCGAUACUGCCUGGCUAGGGUACUGGAGAGGAGACUGGAAUUUACGGUGUAGCAGUGAAAUGCGUAGAUAUCGUAAGGAAGACCAGUGGCAAAGGCGAGUCUCUGGACAGUUACCGACGCUGAGGCACGAAGGUCAGGGGAGCAAACGGG
rnacentral:rRNA from 1 species